UUAGCUUGCUAAGUUUGAUGGCGACCGGCGCACGGGUGAGUAACACGUAUCCAACCUGCCGAUGACUCGGGGAUAGCCUUUCGAAAGAAAGAUUAAUACCCGAUGGCAUAGUUCUUCCGCAUGGUAGAACUAUUAAAGAAUUUCGGUCAUCGAUGGGGAUGCGUUCCAUUAGGUUGUUGGCGGGGUAACGGCCCACCAAGCCUUCGAUGGAUAGGGGUUCUGAGAGGAAGGUCCCCCACAUUGGAACUGAGACACGGUCCAAACUCCUACGGGAGGCAGCAGUGAGGAAUAUUGGUCAAUGGACGAGAGUCUGAACCAGCCAAGUAGCGUGAAGGAUGACUGCCCUAUGGGUUGUAAACUUCUUUUAUACGGGAAUAAAGUGAGGCACGUGUGCCUUUUUGUAUGUACCGUAUGAAUAAGGAUCGGCUAACUCCGUGCCAGCAGCCGCGGUAAUACGGAGGAUCCGAGCGUUAUCCGGAUUUAUUGGGUUUAAAGGGAGCGUAGGCGGACGCUUAAGUCAGUUGUGAAAGUUUGCGGCUCAACCGUAAAAUUGCAGUUGAUACUGGGUGCCUUGAGUACAGUAGAGGCAGGCGGAAUUCGUGGUGUAGCGGUGAAAUGCUUAGAUAUCACGAAGAACUCCG
rnacentral:rRNA from 1 species